rnacentral:rRNA from 1 species
UACGGGGGGGGCAAGCGUUGUUCGGAAUUACUGGGCGUAAAGGGCUCGUAGGUGGCCAACUAAGUCAUACGUGAAAUCCCUCAGCUUAACUGGGGAACUGCGUCUGAUACUGGUUGGCUUGAGUGCAGGAGAGGAACGCGGAAUUCCAGGUGUAGCGGUGAAAUGCGUAGAUAUCUGGAGGAACACCGGUGGCGAAGGCGGCUAUCUGGUUCGAUUCUGACGCUGAGGUACGAAAGCGUGGGGAGCAAACAGG